rnacentral:rRNA from 1 species
CCUACGGGAGGCAGCAGUGAGGAAUAUUGGUCAAUGGGCGCAAGCCUGAACCAGCCAAGUAGCGUGAAGGAUGACUGCCCUACGGGUUGUAAACUUCUUUUAUAAGGGAAUAAAACGAGGCACGUGUGCCUUGUUGCAUGUACUUUAUGAAUAAGGAUCGGCUAACUCCGUGCCAGCAGCCGCGGUAAUACGGAGGAUCCGAGCGUUAUCCGGAUUUAUUGGGUUUAAAGGGAGCGUAGGUGGGUUGUUAAGUUAGUUGUGAAAGUUUGCGGCUCAACCGUAAAAUUGCAAUUGAUACUGGCAGUCUUGAGUACAGUCGAGGUAGGCGGAAUUCGUGGUGUAGCGGUGAAAUGCUUAGAUAUCACGAAGAACCCCGAUUGCGAAGGCAGCUUACUAGACUGUGACUGACAUUGAUGCUCGAAAGUGUGGGUAGCAAACAGGAUUAGAUACCCGUGUAGUC